GACGAACGCUGGCGGCGUGCUUAACACAUGCAAGUCGAACGGAAAGGCCCUGCUUGCAGGGUACUCGAGUGGCGAACGGGUGAGUAACACGUGGGUGAUCUGCCCUGCACUUCGGGAUAAGCCUGGGAAACUGGGUCUAAUACCGGAUAGGAGCCAUUUUUAGUGUGAUGGUUGGAAAGUUUUUUCGGUGUAGGAUGAGCUCGCGGCCUAUCAGCUUGUUGGUGGGGUAAUGGCCUACCAAGGCGGCGACGGGUAGCCGGCCUGAGAGGGUGGACGGCCACAUUGGGACUGAGAUACGGCCCAGACUCCUACGGGAGGCAGCAGUGGGGAAUAUUGCACAAUGGGCGCAAGCCUGAUGCAGCGACGCCGCGUCGGGGAUGACGGCCUUCGGGUUGUAAACUCCUUUCGCUAGGGACGAAGCUUUUUGUGACGGUACCUAGAGAAGAAGCACCGGCUAACUACGUG
rnacentral:rRNA from 1 species